UGAAGGGAUUGCAUGUAAAACUCUGCAACAAGAAAGGAGACAUGAAUAAGGGCAAAGCCAGUUGUUAAGCUUUAGUUAAUGAGAAAUGAAUCAAUCCAUAUUCCAUAGUAUUGUAAGCAGCAUCUGAUUGAAAUCCUUUCUUAACAAUUGUUUUAGAAGAUGGACAUUCCAAAAUAUCAAUUUUGUGUGCCCAGCCCCUUUCCCCUUCCUUUGUUUCUGACUUAAUUUUCAUCCAUUUCUGAUUAUAAUGAAAACCAAAGAAAAGACAAAAAAAAAUUGGAGAAUCCUGCUGGAAUUUGAAUUCCAAAGUAAGAGUUUUCAUCUAAUAUUUGGAGACUAUUGAAUUAUCUAAUCUCAUUUGUUAACUACAUUCCAUCAAUGUUAAAUUGGUUCAGAAAAGUAUGUGACAUAUGAUGCUGGCAAAUGAAU
rnacentral:misc_RNA from 1 species